rnacentral:rRNA from 1 species
CAGAGGUCUCAACCGUUGUUCGGAUUCAUUGGGCGUAAAGGGUGCGUAGGCGGCGGAGUAAGUCAGGUGUGAAAUCUCGGGGCUCAACCCCGAAACUGCACUUGAUACUGCUUCGCUCGAGUACUGGAGAGGAGACUGGAAUUUACGGUGUAGCAGUGAAAUGCGUAGAUAUCGUAAGGAAGACCAGUGGCGAAGGCGAGUCUCUGGACAGUUACUGACGCUGAGGCACGAAGGCCAGGGGAGCAAACGGGAUUAGAUACCCCGGUAGUCCUGGCAGUAAACGGUGCACGUUUGGUGUGGGAGGAUUCGACCCCUUCCGCGCCGGAGCUAACGCGUUAAACGUGCCGCCUGGGAAGUACGGUCGCAAGAUUA